rnacentral:rRNA from 1 species
AUUGAACGCUGGCGGCAUGCCUUACACAUGCAAGUCGAACGGCAGCACGGGUUCUUGCACCUGUUGGCGAGUGGCGAACGGGUGAGUAAUACAUCGGAACAUGUCCUGUAGUGGGGGAUAGCCCGGCGAAAGCCGGAUUAAUACCGCAUACGCUCUACGGAUGAAAUCGGGGGAGCUUCGUGCCUGGCGCUAGGGGGUUGGCCGCUGGCUGAUUGGCUAGUUGGGGGGGUAAAGGCCUACCAAGGCGGGGAGCGGUAGCGGGUCGGAGAGGAGGACAGGCGACCUGGGAGCUGGACCACCGCCCAGACUCCUGCGGGAGGCAGCAGUGGGGAAUGUUGGACAAUGGGCGAAAGCCUGAUCCAGCAAUGCCAAGUGUGUGAAGGCGGCGUUCGGGUUGUAAAGCACUUUUGUCCGGAAAGAAAUGCUUGGGCCUAAUACGGUCGGGGGAUGACGGUACCGGAAGAAUAAGCACCGGCUAACUACGUG